ACUCCUACGGGAGGCAGCAGUGGGGAAUAUUGGACAAUGGGCGCAAGCCUGAUCCAGCCAUGCCGCGUGAGUGAUGAAGGCCCGUAGGGUUGUAAAGCUCUUUCAGCGAGGAGGAUAAUGACGUUACUCGCAGAAGAACGCCCCGGCUAACUUCGUGCCAGCAGCCGCGGUAAUACGAAGGGGCUAGCGUUGUUCGGAAUCACGUGGGCGUAAAGCGCACGUAGGCGGACUUUUAAGUCAGGGUGAAAUCCCGGGCUCAACCCCGGAACUGCCUUGAUACUGGAAGUCUUGAGUCCGAGAGAGGUGAGUGGAACUCCGAGUGUAGAGUGAAAUUCGUAGAUAUUCGGAAGAACACCAGUGGCGAAGGCGGCUCACUGGCUCGGUACUGACGCUGAGGUGCGAAAGCGUGGGAGCAAACAGGAUUAGAUACCCGUGGUAGGACAGUG
rnacentral:rRNA from 1 species